rnacentral:rRNA from 1 species
CCUACGGGAGGCAGCAGUAAGGAAUAUUGGUCAAUGGGCGGAAGCCUGAACCAGCCAUGCCGCGUGCAGGAAGACGGCCCUACGGGUUGUAAACUGCUUUUGCAGGGGAAUAAACCCUCCUAUGUAUAGGAGGCUGAAUGUACCUUGAGAAUAAGGAUCGGCUAACUCCGUGCCAGCAGCCGCGGUAAU